CUUCACCGACCCCAGCCACAGCGGCCGUCCCUCCGGCCGCUCCUGGCCGUAGGUGGCCAUCAGGGCCUGGGCCUC
rnacentral:antisense_RNA from 15 species